rnacentral:tRNA from 1 species
CAGAAAAUAGUUUAUUUAAGAACAUCUACUUUGGGGGUGGGAGGAAAAUUUUCUGA